rnacentral:rRNA from 1 species
GACGAACGCUGGCGGCGUGCUUAACACAUGCAAGUCGAACGAUGAACCCGGAGCUUGCUCUGGGGGAUUAGUGGCGAACAGGUGAGUAACACGUGAGUAACCUGCCCUGGACUCUGGGAUAAGCGUUGGAAACGACGUCUAAUACCGGAUAGGACCUUGUAUCGCAUGAUCUGGGGUGGAAAGUUUUUUCGGUCUGGGAUGGACUCGCGGCCUAUCAGCUUGUUGGUGAGGUAAUGGCUCACCAAGGCGUCGACGGGUAGCCGGCCUGAGAGGGUGACCGGCCACACUGGGAGUGAGACACGGACGGGACUCCUACGGGAGGGAGCAGUGGGGAAUAUUGCACAAUGGGCGAAAGCCUGAUGCAGCAACGCCGCGUGCGGGAUGAAGGCCUUCGGGUUGUAAGCCGAUUUUAGUAGGGAAGAAGGGCUUCGGCUUGACGGUACCUGCAGAAAAAGGACCGGCUAACUACGUG